rnacentral:rRNA from 1 species
UACGUAGGGGGCGAGCGUUGUCCGGAGUUACUGGGCGUAAAGGGCAUGCAGGCGGUCCGACACGUUUUGUGUGACAGCGGGUGGCUUAACUACCCGAGGAUACGAAAGACGGUAGGACUUGAGGACUCGAGAGGGACACGGAAUUCCGGGUGGAGUGGUGAAAUGCGUAGAGAUCCGGAGGAACACCGAAGGCGAAGGCAGUGUCCUGGCGAGUGACUGACGCUGAGGUGCGAAAGCCAGGGGAGCAAACAGG